rnacentral:rRNA from 1 species
UUGGAGGGCAAGUCUGGUGCCAGCAGCCGCGGUAAUUCCAGCUCCAAUAGCGUAUAUUAAAGUUGUUGCAGUUAAAAAGCUCGUAGUUGAAUUUCGGGAUCAGAGUGUCGGUCGUGCCUCGGUACGCACUGGUAUUAUUGGUUCCUACCUUCUGAAGAACCGCGAUGUCAUUAAUUUGGUGUCGUGGGGAAUCAGGACUGUUACUUUGAAAAAAUUAGAGUGUUUAAAGCAGGCUUACGCUUGAAUACAUUAGCAUGGAAUAAUGAAAUAGGACGUUUGAUUCUAUUUUGUUGGUUUCUAGGAUUGACGUAAUGAUUAAUAGGGAUAGUUGGGGGCAUUAGUAUUCAAUUGUCAGAGGUGAGAUUCUUGGAUUUAUUGAGGACUAACUACUGCGAAAGCAUUUGCCAAGGAUGUUUUCAUUAAUCAAGAACGAAAGUUAGGGGAUCGAAGACGAUCAGAUACCGUCGUAGUCUUAACCAUAAACUAUGCCGACUAGGGAUCGGAUGAUGUUAAUUUUUUAAUGACUCAUUCGGCGCCUUACGGGAAACCAAAGUGUUUGGGUUC